rnacentral:rRNA from 1 species
UACGAAGGGUGCGAGCGUUGUUCGGAAUUACUGGGCGUAAAGGGUUUGUAGGCUGAAAUAUAAGUCAAGUGUGAAAUCCCCGAGCUAAACUUGGGACGUGCAUUUGAAACUGUGUUUCUUGAGUAUCGUAGAGGGUGGUGGAAUUGUAGGUGUAGGAGUGACAUCCGUAGAGAUCUGCAGGAACAUCAGAGGCGAAGGCGACCACCUGGCCGAUGACUGACGCUGAGGAACGAAAGCGUGGGGAGCAAACAGG